UUGGUUAAGUUAGAAAGGGCGCACGGUGGAUGCCUUGGCACUAGGAGCCGAAGAAGGACGGGACUAACACCGAUAUGCUUUGGGGAGCUGUACGUAAGCGUUGAUCCAGAGAUUUCCGAAUGGGGGAACCCACUAUCUUUAGUCGGAUAGUAUCCUUACGUGAAUACAUAGCGUGAGGAAGGCAGACCCAGGGAACUGAAACAUCUAAGUACCUGGAGGAAGAGAAAGAAAAAUCGAUUUCCUGAGUAGCGGCGAGCGAAACGGAAAGAGCCCAAACCAAGAAGCUUGCUUCUUGGGGUUGUAGGACACUCUAUACGGAGUUACAAAAGAAAGUUAUAAAUGAAGCGGUCUGGAAAGGCCCGCCAAAGACGGUAACAGCCCGGUAGUUGAAAUGGCUUUCCCUCCAGAGUGGAUCCUGAGUACGGCGGAACACGUGAAAUUCCGUCGGAAUCCGGGAGGACCAUCUCCCAAGGCUAAAUACUCCCUAGUGACCGAUAGUGAACCAGUACCGUGAGGGAAAGGUGAAAAGCACCCCGGAAGGGGAGUGAAACAGUUCCUGAAACCGUGUGCCUACAAGUAGUUAGAGCCCGUUAAUGGGUGAUAGCGUGCCUUUUGUAGAAUGAACCGGCGAGUUACGAUUUGUUGCAAGGUUAAGCGGAAAAAGCGGAGCCGUAGCGAAAGCGAGUCUGAAUAGGGCGCAUAAGUAACAGGUCGUAGACCCGAAACCAGGUGAUCUACCCAUGUCCAGGAUGAAGGUAAGGUAAUACUUACUGGAGGUCCGAACCCACGCACGUUGAAAAGUGCGGGGAUGAGGUGUGGGUAGCGGAGAAAUUCCAAUCGAACUUGGAGAUAGCUGGUUCUCUCCGAAAUAGCUUUAGGGCUAGCCUCGAGGUAAAGAGUCAUGGAGGUAGAGCACUGUUUGGACUAGGGGCCCUUCUCGGGUUACCGAAUUCAGAUAAACUCCGAAUGCCAUGUACUUAUACUCGGGAGUCAGACUGCGAGUGAUAAGAUCCGUAGUCGAAAGGGAAACAGCCCAGACCACCAGUUAAGGUCCCCAAAUAUAUGUUAAGUGGAAAAGGAUGUGGGGUUGCUUAGACAACCAGGAUGUUGGCUUAGAAGCAGCCACCAUUGAAAGAGUGCGUAAUAGCUCACUGGUCGAGUGACCCCGCGCCGAAAAUGUACCGGGGCUAAACAUAUUACCGAAACUGUGGAUGAACCUCUUUAGAGGUUCGUGGUAGGAGAGCGUUCUAAGGGCGGUGAAGUCAGACCGGAAGGACUGGUGGAGCGCUUAGAAGUGAGAAUGCCGGUAUGAGUAGCGAAAG
rnacentral:rRNA from 1 species